UUUUCGGUUGUUAGCCUUCCGGGCAGUGGCUCGUCGCCAGACCGAGGUGUCGCUAGUCCCGCCUGGGACUCUCCGUCUCCACCCCCGAGUCGCGGGACAGGACGUGGCAAGGGAAACGCGUGUUCUGCGUCGCACUCGAUAGAGUGGGCGCGGGAGCGCGGAGCCCCGUUGGCUGCGACGGACCCGCGGGAGACCGGAGGCUUGCGGCGAGUAGGUCGGUCACCCACCCGACCCGUCUUGAAACACGGACCAAGGAGUCUAACAUGUGCGCGAGUCAAUGGGUCUUGACUAGGCCCAGGGGCGCAAUGAAAGCGAAGGACCGCCUAGCGUGGUCUCAGUGGGGAUCCUCGUCCCUCGGGGCGGGGCGCACCCACGACCCGUCCUAUCCGACUCGUCGGUUGGGCGGAGUCUGAGCGUACACGUUGGGACCCGAAAGAUGGUGAA
rnacentral:rRNA from 1 species